AUACGGAGGAUCCGAGCGUUAUCCGGAUUUAUUGGGUUUAAAGGGAGCGUAGGCGGACGCUUAAGUCAGUUGUGAAAGUUUGCGGCUCAACCGUAAAAUUGCAGUUGAUACUGGGUGUCUUGAGUACAGUAGAGGCAGGCGGAAUUCGUGGUGUAACGGUGAAAUGCUUAGAUAUCACGAAGAACUCCGAUUGCGAAGGCAGCCUGCUGGACUGUAACUGACGCUGAUGCUCGAAAGUGUGGGUAUCAAACAGGAUUAGAUACCCUGGUAGUCCACACAGUAAACGAUGAAUACUCGCUGUUUGCGAUAUACAGUAAGCGGCCAAGCGAAAGCGUUAAGUAUUCCACCUGGGGAGUACGCCGGCAACGGUGAAACUCAAAUGAAUUGACGGGG
rnacentral:rRNA from 1 species